rnacentral:rRNA from 1 species
UUCCGUAGGUGAACCUGCGGAGGGAUCAUUACCGAGUUUACAACUCCCAAACCCCUGUGAACAUACCUAUAAUUUGCCUCGGCAGACUCAACGACGGUGCUCCGAGAAAUCGGGCGCCGCUCGCUGCCAGAGGAACCCCAAACUCUAUGUAUUCUUGUGGAUCUUCUGAGUAAAACAAAACAAAUAAAUCAAAACUUUCAACAACGGAUCUCUUGGUUCUGGCAUCGAUGAAGAACGCAGCGAAAUGCGAUAAGUAAUGUGAAUUGCAGAAUUCAGUGAAUCAUCGAAUCUUUGAACGCACAUUGCGCCCGCCAGUAUUCUGGCGGGCAUGCCUGUUCGAGCGUCAUUUCAACCCUCAAGCCCCCGGGCUUGGUGUUGGGGAUCGGCGAUAGUCGCCGUCCCCCAAAUCUAGUGGCGGUCUCGCUGUAGCCUCCAUUGCGUAGUAGCUAACACCUCGCAACUGGAACGCGGCGCGGCCAAGCCGUUAAACCCCCCAACUUCUGAAUGUUGACCUCGGAUCAGGUAGGAAUACCCGCUGAACUUAAGCAUAUCAAUAAGAAAUCGGGCGCCGCUGCUGCCAGAGGAACCCCAAACUCUAUGUAUUCUUGUGGAUCUUCUGAGUAAAACAAAACAAAUAAAUCAAAACUUUCAACAACGGAUCUCUUGGUUCUGGCAUCGAUGAAAAAACGCAACGAAAUGCGAAUAAGUAGUGGUGG